GAUGCAGCGACGCCGCGUGAAGGAAGAAGUAUCUCGGUAUGUAAACUUCUAUCAGCAGGGAAGAAAAUGACGGUACCUGACUAAGAAGCCCCGGCUAACUACGUGCCAGCAGCCGCGGUAAUACGUAGGGGGCAAGCGUUAUCCGGAUUUACUGGGUGUAAAGGGAGCGUAGACGGAAGAGCAAGUCUGAUGUGAAAGGCUGGGGCUUAACCCCAGGACUGCAUUGGAAACUGUUUUUCUAGAGUGCCGGAGAGGUAAGCGGAAUUCCUAGUGUAGCGGUGAAAUGCGUAGAUAUUAGGAGGAACACCAGUGGCGAAGGCGGCUUACUGGACGGUAACUGACGUUGAGGCUCGAAAGCGUGGGGAGCAAACAGGAUUAGAUACCCUGGUAGUCCACGCCGUAAACGAAGAGUACUAGGUGUCGGGUGGCAAAGCCAUUCG
rnacentral:rRNA from 1 species